UGGGGAAUAUUGCACAAUGGGCGCAAGCCUGAUGCAGCCAUGCCGCCGCUGUAGUGAAUGAAGGCAGCUUCGGGUUGUAAAGUACUUUCAGCGGGGAGGAAGGCGAUAAGGUUAAUAACCUUGUCGAUUGACGUUACCCGCAGAAGAAGCACCGACUAACUCCGUGCCAGCAGCCGCGGUAAUACGGAGGGUGCAAGCGUUAAUCGGAAUUACUGGGCGUAAAGCGCACGCAGGCGGUCUGUCAAGUCGGAUGUGAAAUCCCCGGGCUCAACCUGGGAACUGCAUUCGAAACUGGCAGGCUGGAGUCUUGUAGAGGGGGGUAGAAUUCCAGGUGUAGCGGUGAAAUGCAGUAGAGAUCUGGAGGAAUACCGGUGGCGAAGGCGGCCCCCUGGACAAAGACUGACGCUCAGGUGCGAAAGCGUGGGGAGCAAACA
rnacentral:rRNA from 1 species